rnacentral:rRNA from 1 species
UACGUAGGUGGCAAGCGUUGUCCGGAAUUAUUGGGCGUAAAGAGCUCGUAGGCGGUCUGUUGCGUCGGCUGUGAAAACCCGGGGCUCAACUCCGGGCCUGCAGCCGAUACGGGCAGACUAGAGUUCGGCAGGGGAGACUGGAAUUCCUGGUGUAGCGGUGAAAUGCGCAGAUAUCGGGAGGAACACCGGUGGCGAAGGCGGUUCUCUGGGCCUGACCUGACGCUGAGGAGCGAAAGCGUGGGGAGCGAGCAGG